rnacentral:snoRNA from 1 species
AUUCAGGUACUGUUGUAAUAUAACAGAAGUGUUUUAUUGUCAUUCUGCAGUUUUAUUGACAUUCUGCCUGUUUAAAACAUUUGAUACAUUACUGUUGCUGUCUAGCACCAUUCCAUAGUAAGACAGAGACACUUGGUCUCAAAUAU